UACGUAGGGGGCAAGCGUUGUCCGGAAUCAUUGGGCGUAAAGAGCGUGUAGGCGGCCCGAUAAGUCCGCCGUGAAAGUCCAGGGCUCAACCCUGGAAUGCCGGUGGAAACUGUCGGGCUGGAGUCCGGAAGAGGCGAGUGGAAUUCCUGGUGUAGCGGUGAAAUGCGCAGAUAUCAGGAAGAACACCCGUGGCUAAGGCGGCUCUCUAGUACGGUACUGACGCUGAGGAGCGAAAGCGUGGGGAGCGAACAGG
rnacentral:rRNA from 1 species